CUUGCCUGUAGGUUUCGAGUUAGAGGGAUCCACCAGAGAAAUUUCUGUGACAGAUUUAGAGGGCAGAAGUAAAACAUCAGACAUUUUGUUACCCACACACAUCACUGUCUGCUGACUCAUCUUGUUGGAUCUAUAAUUGCUUGCUCUACCAUCUCCUGAACACUAUAUUAGCUUCUAUGAUACGUGGGCCAGAAGUAAUCAAGAAGAGUUUUGGCUUCUGCAGGAUACCAUAUCAUCAAGGUUAGACGCAACAAGAACUGACAAGGAUUUCUGUCUCUGGUUGCAGGCCUCAGCUCAUUUGUGGGGUUCAGCUUCUUUUUGCUCUUCCCCACUUUACAUCCAUUUUUCCUUCCCAUCUGCCUGCCCUGUGGAUAUCAAGCUCCAGCAUAAAACCUGAGGACAGCAACUUCACAGAGAUUGCUUAACCAACUCCAACUGUGAGUCUGAAAAGUAUGAGUGAGACAGCGCUAAGCCUCUCAACCAUAAUCUGUAAGAUGGAAGAAAACUCCUACUAGUGUGGAGCUGCCGGGUGUCCAGGUGGUCUGUCAGGACAAUGAGCUGAAAUGAAACUAACAAUCAAGCCUUUGUUCACCUACUGUGAUAAUCAUCUGGAUCAUAACAAGUAUGCAACGAUACAUGAGGACCCUCCAACUUGCAACAUUUUGUCUACCAUAUGCUUAAAAGAAGGGAAGCUUCAUAGAGUUUGGGUAUUUGA